UUUACAGUGGUAUUAUCUAUGUCUAGCCUAUAGGACGAGACUUAAACGAAUAUCAGUUGUCGGGCAGAUAAUUAGGACAUCAGUGACUGAGUUCUUGUACAGUUUAAUGAGUUUAAAGAAUGUGAGUAGCCUACCUCGUGACGCCUAGCCUGGGCACCAUUUUAGCUCGUAGUGCUCGAGCCAGAUGCAGUCACCAUGGUCCUCGGUGCACGGGACGUAUCCGACUUUGCUGAGUUGCUGAGACAGAGGAGGAUCUCUUUGCCGCUCGUUAAGACAAAGACAGAUGGAGAGAACGCAGUGACGCUAGCUCAAACAGGUCGACACGAGAAACGGGGAUCCACGCACGCUUCCACACACCUGACUCCCCACUCUCUUCCCUUCCAACGCCUCAAGAAUGGCGCUUAGAGCUCAUCGGCACGUGAUGGUGACCUUGUCCCUGCCGACGACCCUACAAUGACCUCUAGCGACCUGGCUCGGGAUGAUGAGGUGCUGGCUAUGGAGCCCCUGCUAAAGCCACGGCCAAAGCUCCUGAGCCAACGUUUUCAGACAGAUCACUCAAAAGAAACACCUCACAGAGCACCAGAGCUUCAGACUCUCCGAUACCUGACCGUCAUGUUCAUCGAGCUCACACAGCUGGACAACAUCUCACACCUGGGAUGGUGCUGAAGUGGACGCCGUGUGAACUUCACCAGCAAUGGCUCCAAUC
rnacentral:lncRNA from 1 species